UGGGGAAUAUUGGACAAUGGGCGAAAGCCUGAUCCAGCCAUGCCGCGUGUGUGAAGAAGGCCUUAUGGUUGUAAAGCACUUUAAGCGAGGAGGAGGGUACUGGUAUUAAUACUACCAGGUACUGGACGUUACUCGCAGAAUAAGCACCGGCUAACUCUGUGCCAGCAGCCGCGGUAAUACAGAGGGUGCGAGCGUUAAUCGGAUUUACUGGGCGUAAAGCGUGCGUAGGCGGCUGAUUAAGUCGGAUGUGAAAUCCCUGAGCUUAACUUAGGAAUUGCAUUCGAUACUGGUCAGCUAGAGUAUGGGAGAGGAUGGUAGAAUUCCAGGUGUAGCGGUGAAAUGCGUAGAGAUCUGGAGGAAUACCGAUGGCGAAGGCAGCCAUCUGGCCUAAUACUGACGCUGAGGUACGAAAGCAUGGGGAGCAAACAGG
rnacentral:rRNA from 1 species